rnacentral:rRNA from 1 species
GAUGAACGCUGGCGGCGUGCUUAACACAUGCAAGUCGAACGAUUAAAGCUCACGUCGGUGAGUGUAUAGAGUGGCGAACGGGUGAGUAACACGUGGGAAACCUGCCCCUUUCUUCGGGAUAACUUCGGGAAACCGUUGCUAAUACCGGAUACUCCGGGAUGGUCGCAUGGCCGACCCGGGAAAGCUUUAUGUGGAAAGGGAUGGUCCCGCGGCCCAUUAGCUUGUUGGUGGGGUAAUGGCUACCAAGGCGAUGAUGGGUAGCCGAGCUGAGAGGCUGAUCGGCCACACUGGGACUGAGACACGGCCCAGACUCCUACGGGAGGCAGCAGUGGGGAAUUUUUGCGCAAUGGGCGAAAGCCUGACGCASCAACGCCGCGUGCGGGACKAAKGCUCUYRGGUCGUAAACCGCUUUCAGCAGGGAUGAAAUUGACAGUACCUGCAGAAGAAGCCCCGGCUAAAUACSUGCCARCAGCCGCGGUAAUACGUAUGGGGCAAGCGUUAUCCGGAUUCAUUGGGCGUAAAGAGCGCGUAGGCGGAUUGUUAAGUCRGAUGUGAAAACCGGGGGYUCAACCCGCGGCCUGCAUCUGAAACUGGCAGUCUUGAGUCUGGUAGAGGAAAGUGGAAUUCCCASUGUAGCGGUGAAAUGCGCAGAUAUUGGGAGGAACACCAGUGGCGAAGGCGGCUUUCUGGGCCACKACUGACGCUGASGCGCGAAAGCUAGGGGAGCAAACAGGAUUAGAUACCCUGGUAGUCCUAGCCGUAAACGAUGGGCACUAGGUGUGGGGGGUCAUCAACUCYCUCCGUGCCRCAGCUAACGCACUAAGUGCYCCGCCUGGGGAGUACGGGYCGCAAGGCUAAAACUCAAAGGAAUUGACGGGUGCCCSGYACAGCMRKCGGAGCAUGKKGCCUUAAUUCGAAGCACGCGAAGAUCCUAACCAGGCUUUGACAUGCAGGGUAAACGGCSGGAAACGUCCCGUUCUGAGAGGACYCUGCWMAGUGGUGCAUGACUGUUCGUCAGCUUCSGUCCUGARAUKUUGGAUUAGUCCGCCACCGAGCGCAACCCGUGUCGUAUGUUGCCAGCCAUUACCUGGGGACUCAUACAGAAAMUUGGCGGCGCUCWAGGCUCSGAAAGAACAGGUGGGCGA